GACGAACGCUGGCGGCGUGCUUAACACAUGCAAGUCGAACGGAAAGGCCUCAGCUUGCUGGGGUACUCGAGUGGCGAACGGGUGAGUAACACGUGGGUGAUCUGCCUUGCACUCUGGGAUAAGCUUGGGAAACUGGGUCUAAUACCGGAUAUGAACUGCCUUUAGUGUGGUGGUUGGAAAGUUUUUUCGGUGCAAGAUGAGCUCGCGGCCUAUCAGCUUGUUGGUGGGGUAAUGGCCUACCAAGGCGUCGUCGGGUAGCCGGCCUGAGAGGGUGUACGGCCACAUUGGGACUGAGAUACGGCCCAGACUCCUACGGGAGGCAGCAGUGGGGAAUAUUGCACAAUGGGCGGAAGCCUGAUGCAGCGACGCCGCGUGGGGGAUGACGGCCUUCGGGUUGUAAACUCCUUUCGACAGGGACGAAGCUUUUUGUGACGGUACCUGUAUAAGAAGCACCGGCUAACUACGUG
rnacentral:rRNA from 1 species